UUUCAGUUCCUCGGGGAAAAAUUCAGAGAAAAUUAGGGACAGCCUGCAGGCGCACUGUGAAUCGUAUUCGGAUCCCGAAAACAAGUAAGGACCCCUCACCCUAUUUCCUAUCACGGUAUUAAAGUUCAAAAUGAUAAAACGGUAUUUCUUGAAUUAACGCAUGUGUGAAAUUGCUUAAGGUUGCUAAUGGAGCCCGAGUCUAGUGUGAUUGAUGAUUUACUGUUAUUUGGCUUGUUUUACACUGUUUUACAGCUUUAAAUGCAUUAUGGGGUUUGAUGUGUUCAUUUUAUAGUUUCGAAUGCAUAUAUUACUGUUU
rnacentral:lncRNA from 1 species